GACGAACGCUGGCGGCGUGCUUAACACAUGCAAGUCGAACGUGAUUUUUGUGGAAAGCUCUUCGGGGACGGAAGCGAAAUGAAAGUGGCGAACGGGUGAGUAACACGUGAGCAACCUACCUUACACAGGGGGAUAGCCGUUGGAAACGACGAUUAAUACCGCAUGAGACCACAAAGCCACAUGGCUUAGGGGUAAAAGAUUUAUCGGUGUAAGAUGGGCUCGCGUCUGAUUAGCUAGUUGGAAGGGUAAAGGCCUACCAAGGCAACGAUCAGUAGCCGGUUUGAGAGGAUGAACGGCCACAUUGGAACUGAGACACGGUCCAAACUCCUACGGGAGGCAGCAGUGGGGAAUAUUGCACAAUGGGGGGAACCCUGAUGCAGCGACGCCGCGUGAGCGAAGAAGGUUUUCGAAUCGUAAAGCUCUGUCCUAUGAGAAGAUAAUGAC
rnacentral:rRNA from 1 species